GGAAUUUUCCGCAAUGGGCGAAAGCCUGACGGAGCAACGCCGCGUGAGGGAUGAAGGCCUCUGGGCUGUAACCUCUUUUAUCAAGGAAGAAGAUCUGACGGUACUUGAUGAAUAAGCCACGGCUAAUUCCGUGCCAGCAGCCGCGGUAAUACGGGAGUGGCAAGCGUUAUCCGGAAUUAUUGGGCGUAAAGCGUCCGCAGGCGGUCUUUUAAGUCUGUUGUUAAAGCGUGGAGCUUAACUCCAUUUCAGCAAUGGAAACUGGGAGACUAGAGUGUGGUAGGGGCAGAGGGAAUUCCCGGUGUAGCGGUGAAAUGCGUAGAUAUCGGGAAGAACACCAGUGGCGAAGGCGCUCUGCUGGGCCAUAACUGACGCUCAUGGACGAAAGCCAGGGGAGCGAAAGGGAUUAGAUACCCCAGUAGUC
rnacentral:rRNA from 1 species